rnacentral:rRNA from 1 species
GAUGAACGCUGGCGGCGUGCCUAAUACAUGCAAGUCGAGCGAACAGAUGAGGAACUUGCUCCUCUGACGUUAGCGGCGGACGGGUGAGUAACACGUGGAUAACCUACCUAUAAGACUGGGAUAACUUCGGGAAACCGGAGCUAAUACCGGAUAAUAUAUUGAACCGCAUGGUUCAAUAGUGAAAGACGGUUUUGCUGUCACUUAUAGAUGGAUCCGCGCCGCAUUAGCUAGUUGGUAAGGUAACGGCUUACCAAGGCAACGAUGCGUAGCCGACCUGAGAGGGUGACCGGCCACACUGGAACUGAGACACGGUCCAGACUCCUACGGGAGGCAGCAGUAGGGAAUCUUCCGCAAUGGGCGAAAUCUUGACGGAGCAACGCCGCGGGAGUGAUGAAGUUCUUCGGAUCGUAAAACUCUGUUAUUAGGGAAGAACAAAUGUGUAAGUAACUAUGCACGUCUUGACGGUACCUAAUCAGAAAGCCACGGCUAACUACGUG